rnacentral:rRNA from 1 species
GAUGAACGCUAGCGGCAGGCCUAAUACAUGCAAGUCGAACGGUGUCUUCGGACAUAGUGGCGCACGGGUGCGUAACACGUAUGCAACCUACCUUACAUUGGGGGAUAGCCUUUCGAAAGGGAGAUUAAUACCGCAUAAGACAGUAGCUGGGCAUCCAGCAGCUGUUAAAGAUUUAUCGAUGUAAGCUGGGCAUGCGUCCAAUUAGCUAGUUGGUGAGGUAACGGCUCACCAAGGCAAUGAUUGGUAGGGGAACUGAGAGGUCAAGCCCCCACACUGGCACUGAGAUACGGGCCAGACUCCUAUGGGAGGCAGCAGUAGGGAAUAUUGGGCAAUGGACGCAAGUCUGACCCAGCCAUGCCGCGUGCAGGAUGAAGGCGUUAUGCGUUGUAAACUGCUUUUAUACAGGAAGAAACGACUCUUGCGAGAGGCAUUGACGGUACUGUAUGAAUAAGCACCGGCUAACUCCGUGCCAGCCGCCGCCGUAAGAC